GCCUUUGUGGUGAAAUGGUAGACACACAAGACUUAAAAUCUUGUGCUUUAAAAAGCGUACCGGUUCGAGUCCGGUCAAAGGUA
rnacentral:tRNA from 1 species